rnacentral:rRNA from 1 species
AGCGAACGCUGGCGGCAGGCCUAACACAUGCAAGUCGAACGGAGUGGCGGACGGGUGAGUAACACGGGGGAACGUGCCCUUUGGUUCGGAACAACUCAGGGAAACUUGAGCUAAUACCGGAUGUCAUGGGUGCGGCCGGCGUCUGUUUAGCUAGUUGGUGAGGUAAAGGGUCACCAAUGCGAGGAUCCGUAGCUGGUCUGAGAGGAUGAUCAGCCACAUUGGGACUGGGACACGGUCCAAACUCUUACGGGAGGCAGCAGUGGGGAAGCUUGCGCAAUGGGGGAAAGGCUGACGCAGCCAGGCCGCGUGAAUGAUGAAGGUCUUAGAAUUGUAAGAUUCUUUCACCGGGGAGGCGGUACCCAGAGAAGAAGCCCCGGCUAACUUCGUGCCAGCAGCCGCGGUAAUAC